rnacentral:rRNA from 1 species
GACGAACGCUGGCGGCGUGCUUAACACAUGCAAGUCGAACGGAAAGGCCCUGCUUUUGUGGGGUGCUCGAGUGGCGAACGGGUGAGUAACACGUGAGUAACCUGCCCUUGACUUUGGGAUAACUUCAGGAAACUGGGGCUAAUACCGGAUAGGAGCUCCUGCUGCAUGGUGGGGGUUGGAAAGUUUCGGCGGUUGGGGAUGGACUCGCGGCUUAUCAGCUUGUUGGUGGGGUAGUGGCUUACCAAGGCUUUGACGGGUAGCCGGCCUGAGAGGGUGACCGGCCACAUUGGGACUGAGAUACGGCCCAGACUCCUACGGGAGGCAGCAGUGGGGAAUAUUGCACAAUGGGCGGAAGCCUGAUGCAGCAACGCCGCGUGCGGGAUGACGGCCUUCGGGUUGUAAACCGCUUUCGCCUGUGACGAAGCGUGAGUGACGGUAAUGGGUAAAGAAGCACCGGCUAACUACGUGCCAGCAGCCGCGGUGAUACGUAGGGUGCGAGCGUUGUCCGGAUUUAUUGGGCGUAAAGGGCUCGUAGGUGGUUGAUCGCGUCGGAAGUGUAAUCUUGGGGCUUAACCCUGAGCGUGCUUUCGAUACGGGUUGACUUGAGGAAGGUAGGGGAGAAUGGAAUUCCUGGUGGAGCGGUGGAAUGCGCAGAUAUCAGGAGGAACACCAGUGGCGAAGGCGGUUCUCUGGGCCUUCCCUGACGCUGAGGAGCGAAAGCGUGGGGAGCGAACAGGCUUAGAUACCCUGGUAGUCCACGCUGUAAACGGUGGGUACUAGGUGUGGGGUCCAUUCCACGGGUUCCGUGCCGUAGCUAACGCUUUAAGUACCCCGCCUGGGGAGUACGGCCGCAAGGCUAAAACUCAAAGGAAUUGACGGGGCCCCGCACAAGCGGCGGAGCAUGCGGAUUAAUUCGAUGCAACGCGUAGAACCUUACCUGGGUUUGACAUGGAUCGGGAGCGCUCAGAGAUGGGUGUGCCUCUUUUGGGGUCGGUUCACAGGUGGUGCAUGGCUGUCGUCAGCUCGUGUCGUGAGAUGUUGGGUUAAGUCCCGCAACGAGCGCAACCCUUGUUCACUGUUGCCAGCACGUUAUGGUGGGGACUCAGUGGAGACCGCCGGGGUCAACUCGGAGGAAGGUGGGGAUGACGUCAAGUCAUCAUGCCCCUUAUGUCCAGGGCUUCACGCAUGCUACAAUGGCUGGUACAGAGAGUGGCGAGCCUGUGAGGGUGAGCGAAUCUCGGAAAGCCGGUCUCAGUUCGGAUUGGGGUCUGCAACUCGACCUCAUGAAGUCGGAGUCGCUAGUAAUCGCAGAUCAGCAACGCUGCGGUGAAUACGUUCCCGGG